UACGUAGGGUGCAAGCGUUGUCCGGAAUUAUUGGGCGUAAAGGGUAUGUAGGUGGUCUCAUUUGUCUGGGGUGAAAGCCUUGAGCUUAACUCAAGAAGUGCCCUAGAAACGGUGAGACUGGAGUCCUGGAGAGGGUCGUGGAAUUCCCGGUGUAGCGGUGAAAUGCGUAGAGAUCGGGAGGAACACCAGCGGCGAAGGCGGCGACCUGGACAGGUACUGACACUCAACUACGAAAGCGUGGGGAGCAAACAGG
rnacentral:rRNA from 1 species